rnacentral:rRNA from 1 species
GAUGAACGCUGGCGGCGUGCCUAAUACAUGCAAGUCGAGCGAACAGACGAGGAGCUUGCUGCUCUGACGUUAGCGGCGCACGGGUGAGUAACACGUGGAUAACCUACUUAUAAGACUGGGAUAACUUCGGGAAACCGGCGCUAAUACCGGAUAAUCUAUUGAUCCGUAUGGUUCAUUAGUGAAAGACGGUUUUGCUGUCACUAAUAGCUGGAUCCGCGCCGCAUUAGCUAGUUGGUAAGGUAACGGCUUACCAAGGCAACGAUGCGUAGCCGACCUGAGAGAGGGAUCGGCCACCUUAGAGCUGAGCCGCCGUCCUGACGCCUACGGUAGGCAGCAGAAGGGAAUGUGCGGCAGUAGGCGAGAGCCUGGCGGAGCAACGCCGCGUGAGAGAUAAAGGUCUUGGGAUCGUAAAACUCUGUUAUUAGUGAUAAACAAAUGUGUAAGUAGCUGUGCACGUAUUGACGGUACCUAAUCAGAAAGCCACGGCUAACUACGUG